AUGGUGCGCGCGUCUAGGGCUCCGGGCCGGGCAGCUGAGGGGCGGCGGGCGCGCUCCCGACACAGCCGACGCCUGUCGAGCGCGCAGCGGCGAGAACCUAGCUCUCCUUGUCGCGCACCCCGGACGGACUGGGCGGACAGGCUCCACGGUGCGUGGGUUCCACGAGUUCGAGUCUCUCCUUGCAGGCCCACGAACCUGAACAGAACGCGAGCCGGGGCAGCGGGCUCGCCGGCCUCCUUUCAGUGCUCCCGCCUCGCCUCCAGACGUGCCGUCUCGCCAGCUGCCUCAGCAGCGCUCGGACUCAGCGGGACUCUGCCCCGACUCGGAGCCGGAGCCUCGGUCCCUGGCGCUCCGCCCCCUAGGGACAAGACCUCCCCAGAGCGCUUUCCGAAACAGACACAGUGCUGUUCACGCACACACACACGCACACAUACACACACACACAAUGCCCCGCGCGGUGCGCACUCCCGCUCGCCCGCCCGCCCUCGGUUUCGGUGCGCCCGGAGCGAUCCUCCUUCCCUCUCCUCGGGGGAGGGUGGGUCACUUCGCGGCACUCGGGGAACGCCGAGGAAAGGGGAAGCCGCGAGCCGCCUACGGGCAGCGGGCGCGGGGCUGGUCCCGGGUCACAGAGGGAGCCGCAGGGUUGGCGGCGAAGCGCGGGGCGUCUCUGAGCGGCGGGCGCAGGGAGGUCGCAGGUCAAGCUGGAGGGUGGGUCCGCUCUAGCUGCCGCCGAAGAGGGCGGGGAGCGGCGGAGGAACGAGGCGCUUGGCGACUUGGCUCCUGGGAGGGAUCCCGCUGUCCCGUCCUCUCGCGCUCCUCCCCCGCCGCCUCCCCCACCCCGGGGCGCGCGGCAGGUUCUGAGCGGCUCGGCCCCAGAUCCCGAUCCCUCCCUCUCCCGGCCUCCGGGAUCCCUCUUCCUCCCUUUCCUCCUCCCCUUCCCACGUUCAGGCCCGGCUCCGGUUUCUGCCCAGACUUUCUCUGAAACUCCGCCGGAGCGCUUCCAGCCAAAACAACAAGGGCUGGGGGAGGAGACGGACGAAGGGAGAGAGCAAGGGAGGGAGGGAGCGCGAGUCCGAGAGGCACCCUGGGAUCUGUAGUUCGGAAAGCAGGAGCAGGGUCCUCCGCCGUCCGGCGGCCCCCAGUCCGCUCCUCGCCCGGGAAGACCGCAGAGGCCUCGGCUAGGGCGGAGGCAAUGGGGCUCGGGCACGGGGAGGACCGAGGGACGUUCGAAUGUUCAGUCCGGGGCUUGCCAUCUUGACUCAGCCCGGUGUCAGUUCGGAGCUUGUGCUAUGCCCGAGAUCAAGAGUUUCGGGGGUUUUCUUUACUUGAGAGCCUGAAAAACAAAACCGCUGGGAGACCACCAUCCUGUCGGUCCCCGCCACGCGAGAUUAAAGGACAGAACAAGAGGGCGCGGGAGCUACCAGCUUGGAGGGGAGGACAGAUGGGAACCGUGGGCUGGCCUGGGCUGGUCUCUGGAGCUGUUCUGCCAGAGUGAUGGGGGCGCUUGGCCGGGCCAAGGAUUUGAUUGGGUCCUAUCUCUGGGACAUUUUGAAGUCUCACACUCCUUCCAUUUGUUGUCUAUUCCACUUAACUUUGUAUUUGUUUGAAAUCUACUGUUGGGAUGCUGGACUAAAAGAGGGAAACUCGGUCGGGCGCGGUGGCUCACGCUGUAAUC